GACGAACGCUGGCGGCGUGCCUAACACAUGCAAGUCGAACGAAGUGGCGGACGGGUGAGUAACGCGUAAUCAACCUGCCCUUCAGAGGGGGACAACAGUUGGAAACGACUGCUAAUACCGCAUACUGAAGGAGAGGAUUGCGUCGGUUUGGCUAGGUGGGGGGGUAAGGGCCCACCAAGGCUAUGAGAAGACGCCGGUCUGGGAGGAUUGACGGCCACAUUGGGACUGAGACACGGCCCAGACUCCUACGGGAGGCAGCAGUGGGGAAUCUUCCGCAAUGGACGAAAGUCUGACGGGGCAACGCCGCGUGAGUGAUGACGGCCUUCUGGUUGUAAAGCUCUGUUAAUCGGGACGCGGUACCGGAAUAGAAAGCCACGGCUAACUACGUGCCAGCAGCCGCGGUAAUUC
rnacentral:rRNA from 1 species